AUGCUGAUUUCACAAGCGCGAAUGUCAUCAACCACCAAAAUUUCCAUGCUGGACAAAUGGAGAAUGGCUCCACUAUGGCUAAUCCUCAUGUUUGUGCUUCAGUUUGAAGGCAUCAGCGGAGACACCGUCAAGCUCUACCACACACCUGGACACGACGCCGUCCUGCCGUGUCACAUCCUAUCAUCGGCAACCUCGACGUGCUCCACAAUCACAUGGUUUUACAACAGUGCAGCCACAAAAGUGGUUGCGGAUGGAAUUGUUAAGAACGACUUGGUUCGAGCUGCCAGGCUGAGACUGGACAAGGGCUGCAAUCUGUUCAUCGACAGCAUCACUGCUGAGGAUGCCGGUCUCUACGUCUGUCGGAAGGGGAGGGCAACCAUGUUAGACACAAAUGUGGUUCUGAGUGUUCUGACCAGUGGAGAAAGACCAACCAAACCACAUGAUGAUCCGGAGGACAAUCUGACCUAUAUCACCGUGAGCCACGUCAACCAAGGAGCCUCUGCUGUGAAACUGGUCAAAGAGGUGGAGAAUGUCACUUAUUCUACAAUCAAGACUCCGGUGACGACAGACGCAUGGUAUGUCAGCAUACCAUAA
rnacentral:lncRNA from 1 species